UACGUAGGGGGCAAGCGUUGUCCGGAAUUAUUGGGCGUAAAGAGCUUGUAGGCGGUUUGUCGCGUCUGCUGUGAAAAUCCGGGGCUCAACCCCGGACUUGCAGUGGGUACGGGCAGACUAGAGUGUGGUAGGGGAGACUGGAAUUCCUGGUGUAGCGGUGGAAUGCGCAGAUAUCAGGAGGAACACCAACAGCGAAGGCAGAUCUCUGGGACGUGACUGACGCUGAGACGCGAAAGCGUGGGGAGCAAACAGG
rnacentral:rRNA from 1 species